UCGAACGAUGAAGCCCUUUCGGGGGUGGAUUAGUGGCGAACGGGUGAGUAACACGUGGGCAAUCUGCCCUGCACUUCGGGACAAGCCCUGGAAACGGGGUCUAAUACCGGAUACAACCUCCUUGGGCAUCUUUGGSGGUGGAAAGCUUCGGCGGUGCAGGAUGAGCCCGCGGCCUAUCAGCUUGUUGGUGGGGUGAUGGCCUACCAAGGCGACGACGGGUAGCCGGCCUGAGAGGGCGACCGGCCACACUGGGACUGAGACACGGCCCAGACUCCUACGGGAGGCAGCAGUGGGGAAUAUUGCACAAUGGGCGGAAGCCUGAUGCAGCGACGCCGCGUGAGGGAUGACGGCCUUCGGGUUGUAAACCUCUUUCAGCAGGGAAGAAGCGCAAGUGACGGUACCUGCAGAAGAAGCACCGGCUAACUACGUGCCAGCAGCCGCGGUAAUACGUAGGGUGCGAGCGUUGUCCGGAAUUAUUGGGCGUAAAGAGCUCGUAGGCGGCCUGUCACGUCGGAUGUGAAAGCCCAGGGCUUAACCCUGGGUCUGCAUUCGAUACGGGCAGGCUAGAGUUCGGUAGGGGAGAUCGGAAUUCCUGGUGUAGCGGUGAAAUGCGCAGAUAUCAGGAGGAACACCGGUGGCGAAGGCGGAUCUCUGGGCCGAUACUGACGCUGAGGAGCGAAAGCAUGGGGAGCGAACAGGAUUA
rnacentral:rRNA from 1 species